AACAGGGAUUACCUCAGUAACGGCGAGUGAAGCGGUAACAGCUCAAAUUUGAAAUCUGGGUCUUUUAGGCUCCGAGUUGUAAUUUGUAGAAGAUGCUUCGGGUGCGGCUCCGGUCUAAGUUCCUUGGAACAGGACGUCAUAGAGGGUGAGAAUCCCGUAUGUGAUCGGGGGCCUGCGCCCAUGUGAAGCUCUUUCGACGAGUCGAGUUGUUUGGGAAUGCAGCUCAAAAUGGGUGGUAUAUUUCAUCUAAAGCUAAAUAUUGGCCAGAGACCGAUAGCGCACAAGUAGAGUGAUCGAAAGAUGAAAAGCACUUUGGAAAGAGAGUUAAACAGUACGUGAAAUUGUUGAAAGGGAAGCGCUUGCAACCAGACUUGGGCGGGGUCGAUCAUCGGGGGUUCUCCCUCGUGCACUCGACCUCGCACAGGCCAGCAUCGGUUCCGGUGGUUGGAUAAAGGCCGUGGGAAUGUAGCUUCUUUCGGGGAGUGUUAUAGCCCACGGUGCAAUGCAGCCUACCGGGACCGAGGACCGCGCUUCGGCUAGGAUGCUGGCGUAAUGGUUGUAAGCGACCCGUCUUGAAACACGGACCAAGGAGUCUAACAUCUAUGCGAGUGUUUGGGUGUCAAACCCAUGCGCGUAAUGAAAGUGAACGGAGGUGAGAACCCUUAAGGGUGCAUCAUCGACCGAUCCUGAUGUCUUCGGAUGGAUUUGAGUAAGAGCAUAGCUGUUGGGACCCGAAAGAUGGUGAACUAUGCCUGAAUAGGGUGAAGCCAGAGGAAACUCUGGUGGAGGCUCGCAGCGGUUCUGACGUGCAAAUCGAUCGUCAAAUUUGGGUAUAGGGGCGAAAGACUAAUCGAACCAUCUA
rnacentral:rRNA from 1 species